rnacentral:rRNA from 1 species
UACAGAGGUCUCAAGCGUUGUUCGGAUUCAUUGGGCGUAAAGGGUGCGUAGGCGGCGCGGUAAGUCGGGUGUGAAAUCUCGGAGCUUAACUCCGAAACUGCAUUCGAUACUGGCAGGCUUGAAUCCGGGAGAGGGAUGCGGAAUUCCAGGUGUAGCGGUGAAAUGCGUAGAUAUCUGGAGGAACACCGGUGGCGAAGGCGGCAUCCUGGACCGGCAUUGACGCUGAGGCGCGAAAGCCAGGGGAGCAAACGGG